rnacentral:rRNA from 1 species
AGAAAAAGUAGUUUUAUCAGGUAAAGCGAAUGAUUAGAGGCUUUGGGGAAGAAACUUCCUCGACCUAUUCUCAAACUUUAAAUAGGUAAGAUUUGAAGGAUACUUAAGUGAUCUCUCAAUACAUUGAAUAUAAAGUUCUUAGUGGGCCAUUUUGGUAAGCAGAACUGGCGAUGUGGGAUGAACCGAACGUUAAGUUAAAGUGCCAAAUAAUACGCUCAUGAGAUACCAUAAAAGGUGUUGGUUCAUUUUGACAGCAGGACGGUGGCCAUGGAAGUCGGAACCCGCUAAGGAGUGUGUAACAACUCACCUGCCGAAUGAACUAGCCCUGAAAAUGGAUGGCGCUUAAGCGUAUAACUUAUACUUAACCCUUACUUGAAUUAUUAUAACGAGUAAGGAGUAGGAGGGCGUAAAGUUUCUAUUAUAUGGCUGUUAAGCAUCUAAGCGUAAGCUUAUGUGGAG